rnacentral:lncRNA from 1 species
GCAGGCACCGGAAAUAUGGCAGCUGUAGAGAGAAGCUGAGUUACCUGAUGGAGCUACUGGGGUUACCUGGCAUCUGCCUAAUUCCAAGCCUUAGCCAACAGAAAUGCACAUAUUCCCCUGAAAGAGAAGCUGGAGGAGGCUAGAGUGCUUGACGAGGCUGCCUGAGGUACCAUUCCUUAAAAGACAUCUGGGAGCCUUGAUGACUGAAUCUCUCAGGUCAAUGGAUCACCUUGAGGGGCGUCCUGAAACCUGUAAUGACCCUUCACAUGUGCCAGUGCCAAAAUGUGAGUAUCUAACUUUGACAGAAACUUGUGAUUGUGUCACCACAAGCUGUCCAGAGCCAGCCAGGGCAUUUCUGGGUGUGUUGCCGUCAGACAUUCAGCUCAGGCCAGGAAACACCUGGCCUACCUUGUGCCAGACUCUGGACUGGACCCUGGAGAAACACAGGUGAAUGAGAUCUUGUUCCUGUCCCCUAGGAAGUACUCCUAACAUAUACUAAAUGUUAAGGUGGGGGUGAGUGCCAGUCCUGGGAGUGUCAGAGGAAGGGCCCACAGAUGAACCUGAGGGUUCUAGGGAAGCUCCUGAGAGUGUUGGAGGGGAAGGAAGAGGUGGUCAGGUCAGGAAAUGUGAGGAGGCACUGAAGGAAAUCAGCAUGAAACUUGGCAGAAAGUUCCAUGCUGUCAUUGCAUAGGCCUAGAAAGCACCUGUGGAAUCUGGCAGUCAAGGCCAUUGGUGUGCUUUGUGAAAGCAGUUCCGAGACACGAUGGGGCAGAGACCAGGUUUAAGCGUAAAUGGGGAGCAAAGAAGUGAAAACAAAUGGGGAGUCUGAGGGUAGCAUAGAUGGCAAGGAGGGCAUGAGAGGAACUAGGA